GUGUUAUUACUUUUUUUUUUUUCCCGUUCAAAUACAUACAAAAGUGUUUGUAAUGAGAAACAUAGACCAAUUGCUUGGCCUACAAGAGGUUCACAGGUUUUGAGAAGAAGGAUGAAAGGUGUGCACAAGAUGCCUUCAAAGAAGACCAGCAACAACCUCCCUUGAUUUCAAUAAUGAUCCUUCCGCAGGUUCACCUACGGAAA
rnacentral:misc_RNA from 1 species